GAUGAACGCUAGCUACAGGCUUAACACAUGCAAGUCGAGGGGAAACGACAUCGAAAGCUUGCUUUUGAUGGGCGUCGACCGGCGCACGGGUGAGUAACGCGUAUCCAACCUGCCCACCACUUGGGGAUAACCUUGCGAAAGUAAGACUAAUACCCAAUGACGUCUCUAGAAGACAUCUGAAAGAGAUUAAAGAUUUAUCGGUGAUGGAUGGGGAUGCGUCUGAUUAGCUUGUUGGCGGGUAACGGCCCACCAAGGCGACGAUCAGUAGGGGUUCUGAGAGGAAGGUCCCCCACAUUGGAACUGAGACACGGUCCAAACUCCUACGGGAGGCAGCAGUGAGGAAUAUUGGUCAAUGGGCGAGAGCCUGAACCAGCCAAGUAGCGUGCAGGAAGACGGCCCUAUGGGUUGUAAACUGCUUUUAUAGGGGAAUAAAGUGAGCCACGUGUGGUUUUUUGCAUGUACCCUAUGAAUAAGGACCGGCUAAUUCCGUG
rnacentral:rRNA from 1 species